rnacentral:rRNA from 1 species
CAGUCGCCGCGGGAAUACGGAGGGUGCAAGCGUUAAUCGGAAUUACUGGGCGUAAAGCGCACGCAGGCGGUUUGUUAAGUCAGAUGUGAAAUCCCUGAGCUUAACUUAGGAAUUGCAUUCGAUACUGGGAAGCUAGAGUAUGGGAGAGGAUGGUAGAAUUCCAGGUGUAGCGGUGAAAUGCGUAGAGAUCUGGAGGAAUACCGAUGGCGAAGGCAGCCAUCUGGCCUAAUACUGACGCUGAGGUACGAAAGCAUGGGGAGCAAACAGGAUUAGAUACCCCCGUAGUCCCUGUCUCUUAUAC